UAUAUGUGAGUUACAGUGUAAUUAAAUAUAAGUUACAAUAUAAUUACACUACGAUUGUACUAUAAUUACAUCUGUCAAAUUUUUAGGAGAAAAUUUAUCGACAAAUAUAUAGGUGGUCCCAACAGCAGGGGGAUCGCUACAGCCAGCCCUAACCGCUCCUGCGGUCUGGCCGCCGCCACCGUUGUUCCGGUUGCCGCCGCCGUCUUUGCACCGCCACCACGGCCAUAGCGGGAGGCCACAGCCGUCGUCAUCCAUCACAAAAUCGGUGUUUCCUUUCCGUUUUGCUUCUUCCCGGUCUGGAGGGUUCCAACGUUGGAGUUGUUGAAUCGGAUUAUCGAAGGAGUUGAGUCGGAUUAUCGAAGGAGUUAAGACAAGUACAAGACGGACUUAUGUGAUGUAUAAACUAUGUUUCUUAUUUGGUUCACUUACCCACUUAUUAUUCGAAAACUUACUAUCUUUAAUUGUGUGGUUUUGGUAUUAUGCUACAUAUUCAUGUUUCACUUCACGUUCAAGUUCACGACGUUAUCCAUGUUUCAUUAUUCCGGAUAUUUUUUUUACGUUAUUCAAGUACCAUGCGUAGUCAUGGGAGUGCAAUUUAGAUCUUUAUUCAUGAUCCUUGAGAAGCAUUGAUCACGCUUUCUCGGUUUACCGGCAAUGCUAAGAAGAUAUUCAUACCUGCCCAGGAGGGAACUACUAUCUUUUGACUUCUUUGUUUUAGAAUAAAGUAACUCCAACCUUUCAUAUUGGUUUCUUAUUGCAUUAAUCCUGUGUAUGUUUUACUAGUUCAAUAUUGUACUUAUUAAGUAUUCUUUACUCACUCUUAUGUUUGAUUUGGUUUUUAGGUACCUAAUGACAUUGAUCGGCAUGGGGUGGGAGUAGCACCCUUGGACUACACAUUAUUAUUGCACACUAUUGAAAUUUAGUUUUAGACCAUGUUUCUGCUUAGCAUAAGUUUUACGUAGAAUUUGUAAAGGUCAUUUAAAGUUCUGGUCCUUAUUUUCACAUGGAAUUUGUGGAGCUAGCAUGGUUUCGAUUGUGUGUGCUAUAUCGUUAUUGAGUUAUCUUACCUGGGGUGUUACACCUGUGCAGCUGUGCUUGCUUCAUCUCGCUCCCAGUCCCAUGGGGGUUUUCUUCCUUUCGUCGCUGUUAAUGGUGACAAACCAGAUCUGGUAAGGCUUCAUCCAUUCUUUUUCUCCCCGAUCUACAGCUUAAUCGUGUUCUGCUCACCGUUUCAUCGCCCCGCAGCUUGAAGGACAGCUGAAUGUGAGUAGGGCAAGAGAGAGGGUUGGGUGCGCAGGAAGCUGAUGAGGCUCCUGACGAGUCUAUGCAUUCUUCUAUCAUAUCAUUUUCAUGUGUGUGCAUAAGGAGAAGAGUUCAGUCACUGCAAUAAAUAUUAUUUUAAUAUUUCAAUUUGAUGUUAAUACACAGUCCAUGGUAGCAGUAGCUUGCUUUUGGAUUAUUUGUUUUUUUUCCAACAUUAGCCACUUCCUCAAGUUUGAGUCACCUUAAUUUAGCACUCAAUUAGUUUGAUGGCUUUUUGUCAAGGUAUCAACAAUAGAAAUCCUAAAAGAAUCCUGUGAUUCAAACAGCUUUCCAAUGUUCAGGUGCUCCAUGGUUUGCAUUGGAAGUAUAUAUAUGUUUCUGUCCUUUCUUAAAACUCUCUAGUAGGUAAAAAAACUCCUCUUUCUCUGACUUUUUAUUCUUGUGUGCAGGAUCAGGAGGGCCAAAGUGACUGAUAGCAUCUGCGAGAUUAUAGUUUUAUUCAUAAAAAAAUGACACAUAAGUGUGACUCUUGCAGGAAGGUACCAGUAUUUGUUAUUUAGAGGUCACAAUCUCAUAAUCUGAUUCUAUCUUCUAAUAAUUGAUUUUGAAAAAAAAAAGGGGACUGGAUCAUUAGCCCUGCUAUAUUCACAUUGUGUAUUCAUUAGUAUCAUGCAGACAGAUAUGUGAGUAGAGAACUAAUUUAUCAGCCCUUUCUUUCUGUGAAAUCAAGCAUAUAUCCAUCCUAUAGUCAUUUCCGGAUCCUGUUGGGCUAAUUGGUGCUUGCUGAUGAACUUAGAUCAGAUUCAUCUGUACAUAGCACUAAUAUUCAUGCAUUUCGUUUAGGCCAAAUACUUCCGGACAUUUUUGUGAUUUGGAAUACACAUUAGAAGCAGAUGUUAGAAAACCCUGUGAUUCUUUUCCUCCAAUUCACAGUUACAGUUUAUUUAUUUAUUUUUCCCUAAUUGAGGUACCCUGUCUAUUUGCUUGCCCCUGAAGAAUGGAAGUUAUGUUUUCCUGAAAAAAAGAAUGAAAGUUAUGUUUCAUUCUAUCAAAAAUGUUUGCAUAAAUAUGUGAUUGUUAAGCACGCAAUGCCAUGCUUUAGAUAAUGACAAUUAUUUACUUAUCUGAAAAUUGUUUAUGAACUUUAUUUCUUCAUGAUCCUCAGAAAUGUUAAUAAAAGAUGAUUUGUGUCAUGCCUCAUUUGUACUGCUUUUAUAUAAGAGAAGGAAGAUGAUGAGGAUGUAGCACCUUCAGGUCCAUUAUCUCGGCUAGCGAAAUUGGCCGAGAGGUACUGCAACCAAAUUAGACUGUCCUUUUCUAGUUUCACUAUAUGUGUUCUUGGUUGUGUCAUAAUUUGGAUCAAAGUUAUGGCCUGUUAUGGAAUUAAUUAUGAAGCUGUUUGACAGUUUUAAACAAUUAAACAUAUGCUUUUACAUGAAAGUGUAAUUUUUUAAUGCUUGUGAUAGGCCACUUAACUAAAGCUGUUUGAGCACUUUCCACUCGAAUAGGUCAUUUUAUUCCUAUGCUACAAAUUUCGUAGUUGUCCAGAUGUACCCAACACGUUAUCAAAUCAAGGAUCAGGUUUAUUUCUUCUUGCAUCUCUCUCGACAUCAAUAUUUUAGACUUCUAUUUCUUUUAGAUUUAUCCAGUUUCAAAAAGGAAAGCUAGUGUCAUGUCUUAUUUAUCUUGCCUCACAUUUUACAGCAUGUGAUUUUUUUUUAUUAACCAAGAUACAAAUUAGUUAUGCAUAACAUUUUUUAGCUAUAGUUGAUUUAUAACAUGUUUCCUUCUAAUGAAUGCCUUUCUAGCUGUUUGAUUGCUACCCACCAUUUCCAGCACCCUUUCCAAAUUUCAACAGCAAUGCGAGACCAUCCUAUAGGCACCUUUGGGGAGCGGGGAGUGUGACAACGUACAAGCUCCCUGACAUUACCAAUGACUGGAACCUGAUUGCUUGAUACAAAGCUGUAGUAGUUUUUCUCAUGGAUUUCCUGUAAACAUCUAAACAACUCAGAACUUUACCCCCGUAGACCGGCUUUCGUGAAAGCACCUUUUGGACGAUUGUUUCUCGAUCCUCUUUACAUUCUAUGAAAAUGAAAAAAAAAAUUCUUUAGUUCAGAAGCUCAUGAGUUUAAUUUUAUCCUGCUCCCUGAAGUCCUAAACUAAACAGAACGCACUUUGGGAUGCCCACUUCAGGUUGGCAUUUUUUUUAGCUUGCCUAUAACCUGUAUCAUGGACCACUAAUAGAAUUUCUAUUUACUGUUCGUACAAUAUUCGAGUUGUGUUUUGCCAGUUUAGGAUUAUCGAGAAAGGAGAUAUAAUUUGUAAUGGCAUGCUUGUAUUCUCAUACUUGCUCUAUGUUUCCAGAAAUGUUCUCCACCAGCUUAGUUCAUCAGCUGUGCAACUUGGCUAUCUCUUUCGUCGAUCCUAUUGAUUUCAUGGCACAACUACUUCAUCUACUUUGGAUCGACAUGUUGUUCUCAGAUCAGUUCCAUGUAUCAUCACUUUUGUGCAACCGUUAUUUUGCACAACCAUGUAUAAUUACUAUUGUUAUAGUGUUAUGUAUCAGGUUUCGGUGACUUCAUAGUUAACAUGAUAUCAUCUUGUUUAUUUA